GCUGUCGGCCGGAUGGUCGCGGGUGCGCGAGCACUCGAGGAAAGUCCGGGCUCCAUAGGGCACGCUGCCAGGUAACGCCUGGGCGAGGCACCCGCCUCGACGGAUAGUGCAACAGAGAAAAGACCGCCGAUGACCCGGUUCGUCGGGCACAGGUAAGGGUGAAACGGUGAGGUAAGAGCUCACCGCGCAGGUGGUAACACCUGUGGCAUGGCAAACCCCAGCGGGAGCAAGGCCAAAUAGGCAGCGAGGGACGGCCCGUCCCGAUCAAGACGCUGCGGGUAGGCUGCUCGAGAGCGUGGGUGACCACGCUCCCAGAGGAAUGACCGUCACGAGCUCACACUCGACAGAACCCGGCUUACAGGCCGGCAGCGUCC
rnacentral:RNase_P_RNA from 1 species